rnacentral:rRNA from 1 species
CAGUCGCCGCGGGAAUACGUAGGUGGCAAGCGUCGUCCGGAAUUAUUGGGCGUAAAGCGCGCGCAGGCGGAUAGGUCAGUCUGUCUUAAAAGUUCGGGGCUUAACCCCGUGAUGGGAUGGAAACUGCCAAUCUAGAGUAUCGGAGAGGAAAGUGGAAUUCCUAGUGUAGCGGUGAAAUGCGUAGAUAUUAGGAAGAACACCAGUGGCGAAGGCGACUUUCUGGACGAAAACUGACGCUGAGGCGCGGAAGCCAGGGGAGCGAACGGGAUUAGAUACCCGCGUAGUCCCUGUCUCUUAUACC